rnacentral:tRNA from 1 species
GGGGUAUUAACUCAAUCGGUUAGAGUAACAGUCUCUUAAACUGGAGGUUCAGGGUUCGAUCCCCUGAUACCCCACCA